GGGCGCGUAGCUCAAUCGGAUAGAGCAUCGGAUUUCUAAUCCGACGGUUGCAGGUUCGAUUCCUGCCGCGCUCACCA
rnacentral:tRNA from 1 species